rnacentral:rRNA from 1 species
CAGCACCUCAAGUGGUCAGGAUGAUUGUUGGGCCUAAAGCAUCCGUAGCCGGCUCUGUAAGUUUUCGGUUAAAUCUGUACGCUCAACGUACAGGCUGCCGGGAAUACUGCAGAGCUAGGGAGUGGGAGAGGUAGACGGUACUCGGUAGGAAGGGGUAAAAUCCUUUGAUCUAUUGAUGACCACCUGUGGCGAAGGCGGUCUACCAGAACACGUCCGACGGUGAGGGAUGAAAGCUGGGGGAGCAAACCGGAUUAGAUACCCGAGUAGUCC